AUUGAACGCUGGCGGCAGGCCUAACACAUGCAAGUCGAGCGAGUGGCGGACGGGUGAGUAAUGUAUGGGAAACUGCCUGAUGGCGGGGGAUAACUACUGGAAACGGUAGCUAAUACCGCAUACCAUCAGAUGUACCCAGAUGGGAUUAGCUAGUAGGUGGGGUAACGGCUCACCUAGGCGACGAUCCCUAGCUGGUCUGAGAGGAUGACCAGCCACACGGGAACUGAGACACGGCCCAGACUCCUACGGGAGGCAGCAGUGGGGAAUAUUGCACAAUGGGCGCAAGCCGGAUGCAGCCAUGCCGCGUGUAUGAAGAAGGCCUUCGGGUUGUAAAGUACUUUCAGUGGGGAGGCGUUACUGACAGAAGAAGCACCGGCUAACUCCGUGCCAGCAGCCGCGGUAAUAC
rnacentral:rRNA from 1 species